CCAGACUCCUACGGGAGGCAGCAGUGGGGAAUAUUGCACAAUGGGCGGAAGCCUGAUGCAGCAACGCCGCGUGCGGGAUGACGGCCUUCGGGUUGUAAACCGCUUUCGCCUGUGACGAAGCGUGAGUGACGGUAAUGGGUAAAGAAGCACCGGCUAACUACGUGCCAGCAGCCGCGGUGAUACGUAGGGUGCGAGCGUUGUCCGGAUUUAUUGGGCGUAAAGGGCUCGUAGGUGGUUGAUCGCGUCGGAAGUGUAAUCUUGGGGCUUAACCCUGAGCGUGCUUUCGAUACGGGUUGACUUGAGGAAGGUAGGGGAGAAUGGAAUUCCUGGUGGAGCGGUGGAAUGCGCAGAUAUCAGGAGGAACACCAGUGGCGAAGGCGGUUCUCUGGGCCUUUCCUGACGCUGAGGAGCGAAAGCGUGGGGAGCGAACAGGCUUAGAUACCCUGGUAGUCCACGCUGUAAACGGUGGGUACUAGGUGUGGGGUCCAUUCCACGGGUUCCGUGCCGUAGCUAACGCUUUAAGUACCCCGCCUGGGGAGUACGGCCGCAAGGCUAAACUCAAAGGAAUUGACGGGGGCCCGCACAAG
rnacentral:rRNA from 1 species